rnacentral:rRNA from 1 species
GAUGAACGCUGGCGGCGUGCUUAACACAUGCAAGUCGAACGGAGAAGGCCAAGCUUGCUUUGGUAGUCGAGUGGCGAACGGGUGAGUAACACGUAGGUGAUCUGCCCUGCACUUCGGGAUAAGCCUGGGAAACUGGGGCUAAUACCGGAUAGGACCACAUAUUGCAUGGUGUGUUGGAAAGUGUUUCGAAGUGGGAUGUGCGAGCGGCCUAUCAGCUGUUUGGUGGGGUAAGGGCGUCACACGGCGACGACGGGUAGCCGCCCUGAGAGUGUGUACGGGCACAGUGUGACUGAGGUACGGGCCGUACGGCUACGGCGGGCAUGGGCGGAGGACUUUGCAAACUGGGCGGCAGCCGUGUGGAGCGUCUCCGCGUCGGAGAGGACGGCUGUCGGGUUGGAAACUCUUUUCGCUAGGGACGAAGCGCCAGUGACGGUACCUUGCGAAGAAGCACCGGCUAACUACGUG